rnacentral:rRNA from 1 species
GACAGAGGGUGCAAGCGUUGUCCGGAAUUAUUGGGCGUAAAGAGCUCGUAGGCGGUCUGUCGCGUCGGCUGUGAAAACUCGGGGCUCAACCCCGAGCCUGCAGUCGAUACGGGCAGACUAGAGUGCUGUAGGGGAGACUGGAAUUCCUGGUGUAGCGGUGAAAUGCGCAGAUAUCAGGAGGAACACCGGUGGCGAAGGCGGGUCUCUGGGCAGUAACUGACGCUGAGGAGCGAAAGCGUGGGGAGCAAACAGG